AGGCUAAAUACUCCCUAGUGACCGAUAGUGAACCAGUACCGUGAGGGAAAGGUGAAAAGCACCCCGGAAGGGGAGUGAAACAGUUCCUGAAACCGUGUGCCUACAAGUAGUUAGAGCCCGUUAAUGGGUGAUAGCGUGCCUUUUGUAGAAUGAACCGGCGAGUUACGAUUUGUUGCAAGGUUAAGCGGAAAAAGCGGAGCCGUAGCGAAAGCGAGUCUGAAUAGGGCGCAUAAGUAACAGGUCGUAGACCCGAAACCAGGUGAUCUACCCAUGUCCAGGAUGAAGGUAAGGUAAUACUUACUGGAGGUCCGAACCCACGCACGUUGAAAAGUGCGGGGAUGAGGUGUGGGUAGCGGAGAAAUUCCAAUCGAACUUGGAGAUAGCUGGUUCUCUCCGAAAUAGCUUUAGGGCUAGCCUCGAGGUAAAGAGUCAUGGAGGUAGAGCACUGUUUGGACUAGGGGCCCUUCUCGGGUUACCGAAUUCAGAUAAACUCCGAAUGCCAUGUACUUAUACUCGGGAGUCAGACUGCGAGUGAUAAGAUCCGUAGUCGAAAGGGAAACAGCCCAGACCACCAGUUAAGGUCCCCAAAUAUAUGUUAAGUGGAAAAGGAUGUGGGGUUGCUUAGACAACCAGGAUGUUGGCUUAGAAGCAGCCACCAUUGAAAGAGUGCGUAAUAGCUCACUGGUCGAGUGACCCCGCGCCGAAAAUGUACCGGGGCUAAACAUAUUACCGAAACUGUGGAUGAACCUCUUUAGAGGUUCGUGGUAGGAGAGCGUUCUAAGGGCGGUGAAGUCAGACCGGAAGGACUGGUGGAGCGCUUAGAAGUGAGAAUGCCGGUAUGAGUAGCGAAAGAAGGGUGAGAAUCCCUUCCACCGAAUAUCUAAGGUUUCCUGAGGAAGGCUCGUCCGCUC
rnacentral:rRNA from 1 species